rnacentral:lncRNA from 1 species
UAACAUCUAUAGUACACCCAUACUGAAUAUUCCUUUCAUCCUCCAUACUAUGUGGGAAGCAGAAUGGACAGUGGCUGAAGGAUAUUGGAGUGGUGUAUCAGAUUCUUUGAGUAAUCAAGGGGAGUGACUGAAGUCAUAGGGCAGAGAAAGCACGGCUGCUUCUCUGACCCCUUUCUUUAUUUUCUGCACUUUGUGUUCUUGUGAGGAGCUAGUCUCCAUUUCUUUUAUAAGUUAAAAUCACCUCUUAUCAAAUUGGUAUCAACGAUUGUAAUCCUAGGGAGCCAUCAAAUAGGGAUAUCAUUAGGCUCCCACUCAAGAAAUGUCAGAAGUUCCAAUGAAGAGGAUAGAUGAAGU